ACCACAGCCCAUACCAAGCUUUGACUCUUCUCUUCCAAGACAUCCAUGGCUUUGAUGGUGAUGGUGAUCAGAUGCCUCUGUUUGUUGCUUCUGCAAAGACGUCGUCUUUGCUCCUCCUGAUAUCGAAUUCCAAUCAUAAAAAUAGCAAUGAGAAUAUUUCAAUACCGUACCUUCUUCUCUUCCCUUCCUCUCCAAACACACCGUCUCUUCUCCUCUGCUUCUUCUCUCCCUACACUUCAACCAUCAAACGACGCUCAAUUGCUUUCCCAAAUCUUGCUCCACCAUCACAACCCAUUCCACGCCAUGGAAUCGUCUCUUCAGCUCCACGGCUUCUCUCUUACCCCUCAUCUCCUCCACCAGACUCUCCUCCGUCUCUGCCACCACUCCAAAAUUGCCCUCUCCCUUUUCCAAUAUGCUCUCUCUAUCCCUUCUUCUUCUUCCAUCGUUACCUCCGUUACCUAUAAUAUCAUGAUCGACAUUCUCGCUAAGGUCCAUCAGUUUGACGUAUCUUGGCAGCUUAUUGUCCAAAUGGAGCAGACAAACGUCCAACCGACUUCCCAUACUUUCCUUAUACUCAUUCGCAGAUUGAUUGCUGCUGGUCUUACCCGUCAAGCUAUCCGUGCUUUUGAUGAUAUGGAAUCUUUCGUUGCGGAAACUGUGGAUGAGACCCAUUUCUGUUUCUUGCUUGAUACCCUGUGCAAGUAUGGCUACGUUAAAGUGGCCGUUGAGAUUUUUAAUAAAAGGAAGUCUACUUUUUGUCCUAGUGUGAGAAUGUAUACAGUUUUGAUUUGUGGUUGGUGCAAGAUUGGUAGAAUUGAUAUGGCAGAGAGAUUUCUGAGAGAGAUGGACGAGAGAGGGAUUGGGCCUAAUGUUGUUACCUACAAUGUGUUGUUAGAUGGUAUUUGCAGGAGGGCCAGAUUGCACCCUGAGGAUAGGUUUGAGAGGACAAUAAUGUCAGCUGAGAAAGUGUUUGAUGAAAUGCGCCAAAGAGGGAUUGAACCCGAUGUCACAAGUUUUUCUAUAUUGCUUCAUGUGUAUAGUAGAGCUCAUAAGCCUCAGCUAACACUUGAUAAGUUGAAGUUGAUGCAAGAGAAGGGGAUUUGCCUUACUGUUGCCACUUAUACUUCUGUGGUGAAGUGUCUUUGCUCCUGUGGCUGGGUUGAGGACGCAGAGGAGUUGCUUGAUGAGAUGGUCAGAAAUGGGAUUAGCCCUAACGCAGCAACUUACAAUUGUUUCUUUAAAGAAUAUAGAGGAAGAAAGGAUGCAGAAAGUGCCCUGAAGUUGUAUAGGAAAAUGAGGGAGGACAAUCUGUGUGAUCUGAGCACGCACACAUAUAAUAUACUGCUAGGCAUGUUUAUGAAGAUGAAUCGCAUGAAUAUUGUGAAUGAGAUAUGGAAUGAUUUAUGUGCAAGUGGUUCAGGGCCAGAUUUGGAUUCAUAUACAAUGCUUAUACAUGGGCUAUGCGAGAAACAGAAGUGGAAAGAAGCAUGUCAGUUUUUUGUGGAGAUGAUAGAGAGGGGGUUGCUUCCACAAAAGGUUACUUUUGAGACUCUUUACAGAGGGCUAAUACAGUCUGAUAUGUUGCGAACUUGGAGAAGGCUAAAGAAAAAGCUUGAUGAAGAGUCAAUAGCAUUUGGUUCAGAAUUUCAAAAUUACCACUUAAAGCCAUAUAGGCGAUAAUACAUCUUUGCUACAAUGUGACUAACCGAAUGAUUUUGCUGAGGAUUGUUGAUUGUUUUGAGGAGAUGAUUAGCGUAACUCGCCAAGACAUCAAUUGGGAUAAAGUGUGGUGCUGCUGGAGGCAAGUUUGAAAUUCAAAAGUGUUGUCUACUCAACUCCAGGGACACAUCCCCAAGGAGCAGUGCAUGGAAAUGUCAAAAUGAACUUGGCUAGUUUCCAAGUAAUGAUGUUAGUGUAUUUAUGCUUACAAUUAUUGGCAGAUAGACUGUAGAUGGUGUUCACUUCUUAAUGAGAAGUCCAUGCAUGCACACACAAAAAGAGAAAUACAGGGGAAAUGCGGAAGGUUUCAGGAAGCAACAUGAAAGUCAGUUGGAGGGAAGUGGGGUUUGUGGGGUAUCUACAAACACAUGCAGUUUUAGGAGAACCGGUGUUGUCAUUGUAUUUUGGAGGCAAAGCCAUUUGUAGGACAUUAUUGAAUCAAUUGGAAAGAAGAUUGAUCCUUCGUUCCAUUAUGAGUUGGCAUGAAGCUUUUUGGGUUCCACUGUACAUAUACCAACUUUCUGCAUUAAAUAAUUAUUGUACUUAAUUUUCGUGCCAAACUAGGAUCAAUGUAAUCUGACUAGGAAAUCGUGCAUAAUGCAUGAACUAGGAAUUCAUGUGUUGUAUUAUGAUGCCCAACAAAUAUGUAACAUGGUAGCGCUCUCAUUGUAAUUAUUGAAUUUGAUAAUUAAAGUUUAAAUUGAUUGCUUGAA